rnacentral:rRNA from 1 species
AGCGAACAUUGGCGGCAGGCUUAACACAUGCAAGUCGAGCGAGGCGUAAUAGUCGAGCGGCGAACGGGUGCGUAAUACAUGGGAAUCUACCUCGAAGUGGGGGAUAACGUCCAGAAAUGGACGCUAAUACCGCAUAAUCCAUAUCGGGAAAGCGUUGCAGCGCUUUGAGAUGAGCCCAUGGCUGAUUAGCUUGCUGGUGAGGUAACGGCUCACCAAGGCGACGAUCAGUAGCUGGUCUGAGAGGAUGACCAGCCACACUGGAACUGAGACACGGUCCAGACUCCUACGGGAGGCAGCAGUGGGGAAUCUUGCGAAAUGGGGGCAACCCUGACGCAGCCAUACCGCGUGAGUGAUGAAGGUCUUCGGAUUGUAAAGCUCUUUCGGCAGGGACGACGAUGACGGUACCUGCAAAAGAAGUCACGGCUAACUUCGUGCCAGCAGCCGCAGUAA